GUGUGUGUGUGUGUGUGUGUGUGUGUGUGUGUGUGUGUUAUAUGGUGGUGUGUGUGGGGGGUUGUACCUGUGAGUAAAAGUGCCCUUCGAAGCCAGAAGAGGGCAUUAGAUCCCCUGUAGCUGGAGUUACAGGUGGUUGUGAGUUUUAGUGUGAACUUGCUUCCCCUGCAAGGGCACUCCUAACCCCUGAGCCAUCUUUCCAGCCCUGUAACAUAUUCUUCACAGACACACAUUCUCAGAAAAGAAAAAAUACUUAUGUUGCUGAGAAACCCAUUUGAUGAACCAGUAAAAAUCUGUGCAAUCUGGACUCAUGACCACACGUCUUUGGAAUUCUGUGGACCAAUCAAGAAGCAUGCAUCCAUAAAACAAUAAAACACCUCUGCUGCCUGUCAAGAGUGAUGGGUCCCUUCACAUAGCAGUGCGCAUUAACGACUGACACGGGCUGGUUAGUAACUAUUAGGUAACUUCACACAAGCAAUGCAGCUAACUAACCCUGUCCCUUCGAGGAAGAGUUAAUUGUUGCCAACGAUAAAAUUUUGGCUUCCAAGUGAGAAAUUAGAGCUUUAGAAGACAUGUGUCCUAUUUAUGACGUUUUCCUUAUGCCUAGGGAUGUUUCUGAUAACCAGCCAGUAAUAUUAACAAUUUCGGGGUACGGAAGCAUUGUUUAAAACCCUGAGCAUGGUGGUGCAUACCUGUUGCCCCAGCGCUGGGUAGGCUGAAGCAGGCUGGGCUUUGCAGUGAGAUCUAAACAGGCUGGGAUCUAGAGUGAGACCCUGUCUCAGAAAAGGGUCUCAAUGAAGGAUAAGGAUGACUGACUGAAGUGUCUCCUGGCCAAGCAUGGAGGCGCACGCCUUUAAUCCCAGUGCUCAGGAGGCAGAGGCAGCCGGAUCUUUGUGAGUUUGAGGCCAGCCUGGUCUACAGUGCGAGUGCCAAGACAGGCUCCAAAGCCACAGAGAAACCCUAUCUUGAAAAACAAACAAAAAAAGAUUGCUUCUAAUUUAAAUAAAAUUUAUUUAAAAAAAGAAAAUGAAUUGUCUAUGUUUCUAUAGGAUAUAGCUUAUUGUUUUUAAGUAAAUUAACACUGAUUACCUCUCCAUUUCCAAUUUUGGAUGCUGGGGCUGGAACCUGGAGCCUUGACUGGUAAAUAUUCUAGUCGGAGGUGGGAGGUCCCCCUGUGUGUUGCAAAUAUGUGUUGGCUUUUAUUGGCUGGUAAAUAAAGCUGAUUUGGCCAAUAACCAGGCAGAAUAUAGCCAGGUGGCAAAUCCAACCAAAGACACAGGGAAAAAGAAAGCGGAGUCUGGGAGAUGCCAACAGCUUUGGAGAAGCCAGAUGUGAGGUAACACCACGGCCACAUGGCAAUACAUAAAAUAAUAGGAAUGGGUUAAUUUAAGUUGUAAGAGCUAGUUAGUAAUAAGCCUGAGCUAAUAGUCCAGAUGGUUUGUAAUUAGCAUUGAGCCUCAGAGUGAUUAUUUUAUAAGCAGCUGCUGGUACCGGAUGGACGGACCAUGUCAACCUACAGGAGGAGAGCAGCCUUCACCAUCAGAAUCCAUCAGACCGUCACAGGAUGAACUAAAGUCACAGAUUCCUCUCUGUGGCACUGGGGAUGAAGCCAGUGUGGGUGCCAGACAAGCACUCUGCCUCUGGGCUGUCUUUUAAUUUUGACAGGGACUCACUGCAUGAUCAUCUGAGCUUGAACUCAUCCUGUAGUCCAGCUGAUGCACGGGGGUCCAGGAAGGCUUCCAGGCCUAGGAUGGAAGUUCACUGUCAGCUUUUUUCCAUAAAGCAAAGGGAGAAUGGCCAAGGAGUGCAUGCUACCUAGAAUGUGGGCUACUCAGAAUGCUGGACUUACGUGUUUACCAGUGAGGGUCAGCACUUGGAUCAACAGCGUAGAGACCGGCCUCUCAGGUCUGCUGGAUUACCAUGGCCCACUGACUUCCUCAGCUCUGUUUGCUCCGUCUAUCUGCUUGUUGGCUCUUCGACUCUGUGCUGCCUCAUCUGCCGCAGGGAGAGAAGGGAGCCCUACCCCCAUGGUGGAAAACAGGGCGAAAUGGCGUUUCCCAAAGAUUUCACAUCAGCCACGGAUGAGAUUAGAAGAAGCCAACUCUGAGUCUGAAGAGAAAGACAUGCUGGAGAGUGAAAGCUGGAGCACCCGGGCAUAAAGCCUCCCCAGUGACAAAAGUUGAGAGAUGUCACGUGCCACACACCUUCAUCCUAGCACUCCCCGCUUUCAUUGACAAUAGAUUCUUUUCUCAUACAGUCUGUCUUGACUACAGCUUCCCAUUCCUCUACUCCUCCCAGUUCCUCCCCACGUCCCCUCCCCUCCGGAUCCACUCCCUUUGUGUCUCUCAUUAGAAAAGAACGGGUUCCUUCUAAAAGGUAACAACCAAACAUGACAAAAUAAUACUCCAGCUCUUGACAAUUCAUCUGACUUAAGUGGUCAUCUAUCUUGCCUCAUGGGUCAUUCUCUACAAGAUUUUGUUUUUGCUAUUUACUAAAUUGAAGAAAAAAACAUAAUUAAGAGUUAUUUUUAUCUGCCUAAUGUCUACUUCCGUCCUCAGAUUUAGCAUGUCAAGCAGUUUCUGAAGUGUGGUUGACUUAGGUGCUGGGUAUGGAGGCUGAGGUUGGAGAGAAUUGGGGUCUGACCUGGGAUAUAGAGCAAGAUCCUGCUUCAAAACGUAAAUGGGAGGGCUGGAGAGAUGGCUCAGCAGGUAAGAGCACUGGCUGCUCUUCCAGAGAACCCUGGUUCUAUUCCCAGCACCCACAUGGCAGCUCACACGUCUGUGUAACUCCAGUUCCAGGGGACCUGGCAUCCUUACACCAACGCACAUUAAAUAAAUUAUUUAAAAAUACAUAAAUGGGGGUGGCGUUCAGAUAGCUACACGGAUAAAGGAGACAGCACCAAGCCUGAUGCCCUGAGUUCAAUCCCUGGGAACCACUGGGCGAAGGUGAGCACUGAUUCUCCACGUUGUCGUCUGACUCUCGUAUGUAUGCUAUGUACCACAUUCAUCCAUCCAUCACACACACAAAACACAUAAAUGUAGAGAGGGUUUUGUAAGUACGGCUAUUGCUACGGUUUGGAUAUGAAAUGUCCCCAAUAGGCAUAUGUUUUUGAAAACUUGGUCCAUAACUGGCUGGUGGCAUUAUCCUGGGGGCUGUGGAGAGGGCUUUGAAGGUGGUACCCAGCUCUGGUGUGGGCCGAGCCUGCUUCCUGAUCAGCCAAGGUGUGAGCAAUUCUCAGUCCCUGAUACUGAUUAUUGUGUGGGUCCUGCAUGCUGUCCAUGCCACGGUGCCUGCACCCCUGCCACUAUGAGCCAAAAGGAGCCAUAAUUUCUUUCUGCCAAGGACUUUGUCACGGUGACAAGAAAAGCAAAUAAUACAGUUAGAUAGAAGAAAGCAACAUUAAACUAGUUCUUCACAAGCCACAUAAAACUGAGGACAAAGGGCUGGAGAGAGGGCUCAGCAGGUAAGAGCACUGGCAGGUCUCGCUGAGAAUGCAGGUUUGGUUCCCAGCCCACAUGGUGGCUCAAAACCAUCUGUGACUCCAGUUCCUGCUCUCUAAGCAUGAUUUUAUUAAUAAUAUUAGAUUUUAUUAAUUUAUGGUAAAUUUUCUUAGAGAUGAUGUAAAAGAUCUAGCUUUCUAGCUUUCUUCUUUUUUUUUAAAAAAAGAAGACAGCAGAAACCAUUUGUUAUUCCACGAUUUCAAAAUAGGUAUUGUAAAUAUUUUGGUAUCUGUUCACAGCCCUUUAGUCUUCUGUGAGAGCCCCGCCCACUGCUGCAGUGAGAGCCCAGCCAGCAGGAAGACAGGUGUUGGGGUCCCAUGAUGAGGGAUCAGUUGUUCUGAAGAAGACAAAUGUCCUUUCACCAUGGCUCCUUAUGAACUGUUACGGUUUGGGGACCUGGCUCUGGAAAAUUGUCCCCAUGGUGUGCACAUGCACGCACGCAGGCACGCAGGCACGCAGGCACGCACACGCAUGCACGCAGGCACUCUAAUUCUGCAGAGUUCGGUUAACAAGCCCGGUUCCACGCUACUUUGUCCUAGGGAGCAGGGAGACUGGCGACUCUCCAACCACACACACAAAGUUGUGAGUGUGCCCAGCUUACAGGAGACCCAGGGUUGACGGACACACAGCCACCCCUGCCUAAAGGACACCUCGGCAGAAACAAGGUUUUAGGAUUGAACUUGGGUCUUCAGAUGCUAAGACAAGCAUUUUUACCCACUGAGCCAUCACAGUGACCACACCCAGGACUCUCCUGAAAAGCCAGGCCCAGGCCCAUGCACACACCCACACUUGGUUAUGCCUUAUC
rnacentral:lncRNA from 1 species